rnacentral:rRNA from 1 species
AUCCUACGGGACGCAGCAGUGAGGAAUAUUGGUCAAUGGGCGGUAGCCUGAACCAGCCAAGUAGCGUGAAGGAUGAAGGUUCUAUGGAUUGUAAACUUCUUUUAUAAAGGAAUAAAGUGAGGCACGUGUGCCUUUUUGUAUGUACUUUAUGAAUAAGGAUCGGCUAACUCCGUGCCAGCAGCCGCGGUAAUACGUAGGAUCCGAGCGUUAUCCGGAUUUAUUGGGCUUAAAGGGAGAGUAGAUGGGUUGUUAAGUCAGUUGGGAAAGUUUGCGGCUCAACCGAAAAAUUGCAAUUGAUACGGGCG